rnacentral:lncRNA from 1 species
AUUGUUUAUUUCACUUUUGUUUAUUAUCUACUUCACAAUGUUAACAUAUGUUUCCCAUGCAAAUAAAGACCUUUGAAUUGAAAUUGAAUUGAGAGAAAGGACGAGAGAGGGUGUGUGUGUGCGCGUGUGUGUGUGUGUGUGUGUGUGGGGCAGACAGAGGGUGUCCAGUGUUUUUUCCAGUAACUGCUGCUUGUAUGUGGGCAGUGGCAGGAAACAUUAUGCUCAUUUCACAGCAGACUGAGGUGUGUGUGUGUUAGUGUGUGUGUGUGAUGGGGGUGGGGGAUGAGCUGCAAUACAUCUAGGUCAUUGGAAUGUAUUUGAGUGUGUCUGUGUGUGACUGUGUGUGUGUGUGGUGUAUUUAUGCAUGUGUUCCAUAUUAGUGAUAGUGUGUGUGUGUGUGUGUACGUGCAUGUAUAAGUGUGAGUUGAGUUUUACAUAGAAAAGUAGAGUAGCUCUCAACUAAGGUGUGCUAGACUGUUCUCUGUGUGUGUGUGUGCGUGUGCGUGUGUGUGUGUACACUGUAUAUGUGUUCAAGGUAUUACCUUCCUAAUAUUGAGUUGCUCUCCUUUUUGCCCUCAGAACAGCCUCAAUUCAUCAGGGCAUGGACUCUACAAGGUGUCAAAUGUUCCACAGGGAUACUGGCCCAUGUUUGACUCGAACGUUCCCCACAGUUGUGUCAAAUUGGCUGGAUGACCUUUGGGUGGUGGACCAUUCUUGAUACACACGGGAAAAACCCAGCAGCGUUGCAGUUCUUGACAGACACCAGUGCGUCUGGCACCUAUUACCAUACCCCAUUCAAAGGCACUUACAUCUUUUGUCUUGCCCAUUCACCCUCUGAAUGGCACACACACACACACACGAUCCAAGUCUCAAUCGUCUCACGGCUUAUAAAUCCUUCUUUAACCUGUCUCCUCCCCUUCAUCUACACCGAUUGAAGUGGAUUUAACAAGUGACAUCAAUAAGGGUUCAUAGCUUUCACCUGGAUUCACAUGGUCAGUCUAUGUCAUGGAAAGAGCAGGUGUUCUUAAUGUUUUGUACACUCAGUGUGCGUAUCCUUGGAGCAAGCAGACCCUAGCCAUACACUGUAGAACAUCUAAUUGGCCCUCUCUAACACACACACACACAAAAUCAUACAUUUAUGCACCAAAAACCCUCUGACACAGAAACGUUUCCUGUGUGCCUGCCCAUACAAGCAGUGCUUCCUGAAAAAAAAGCACUGGACACACACACACACACACACACACACACACACACACACACACACUAUAUUGCUCUCUCGCUACAACACUGGCACCAAUUAUCCUCUCUGACUGGAGUGUUUUGAUGGUGUAAUUGUCACGGACAGAGAGGAGAGCGGGAUGGAGGGAUGUAGAGAGG